rnacentral:lncRNA from 1 species
CUCAGAGGCAUCGGGCAGCUGAGCUGUGCCCCACACAGCACCAUGAAGCUGGGGCUGCUCUGUGCCCUCGCCAUGGCCCUCCUGGCCAUGGCCAUGGCUGACCUCAAAGACUCCAAGAAGGGAAAAAUGCUCACAUGGAACAGAGAGGCAGGGACGCGCGGCGGGGGCCGGCGCCGACCACACCAGCUGUGCUCAGGGUGUUUCUCUGUGCUGAGUGAGGAGUCCAUCACAAUGUCCCGGAGCACUGGGGACGUGGAUGAAGCUCAGGCAGGCAGGCAGGACAGGAAAGGAGGAGCAGCGGUGGCCAAGCACAGCCCUGCGCCAUGAUGGAGCUGGGGGUCCCACCACCCCCUGACUGCACAGCAGCCCUGAGGGGAGCCAGGGGGUCCUGCUGUGCCUCCAGCAUGAUGGGGCUGCCCAGCCGCCCCAGAGUGCUCCUGGGGGGCAGCACCCCCACCUGCCACACGAAGCUGCCAAAUAAAGCCACCAAACCAGC